rnacentral:tRNA from 1 species
GGGUAUAGUUCAGUGGUAGAGUGCAUGCUUAGCAUGCACGAGGUCCUGGGUUCAAUUCCCAGUACUUCCA